rfam:Oryza brachyantha chromosome 2, whole genome shotgun sequence.
UGUUUGCUAUGAUGACCUCUACAAGGACGGUAUCUGAGCGAUGGAUUCAUCCUUGCAUGAUUAUACCUACUCUGAGACAAAAUGUCUGAGCAAAACA